rnacentral:rRNA from 1 species
AUUUUCUUUGGUAGCAAUACCGAAAAAAAUUCAGUGGCGAACGGGUGCGUAACACGUGGGCAAUCUGUCUUAAAGUGGGGGAUAGCUCGGCGAAAGCCGAAUUAAUACCGCAUGUGAUCAGAGGCGACAUCGCUUCGAAAUCAAAGGUGGCGCAAGCUACCGCUUUUUGAGGAGCCCGCGGCCUAUCAGCUUGUUGGUGAGGUAAUGGCUCACCAAGGCGUUGACGGGUAGCUGGUCUGAGAGGACGACCAGUCACACUGGGACUGAGACACGGCCCAGACACCUACGGGUGGCAGCAGUCGAGAAUUUUUCUCAAUGGGGGAAACCCUGAAGGAGCGACGCCGCGUGGAGGAUGAAGGUCUUCGGGUUGUAAACUCCUGUCAUUUGGGAACAAGUCGUACGUAUUAACUGUACGUGCGUUGAUAGUACCAGAAGAGGAAGAGACGGCUAACUCUGUGCCAGCAGCCGCGGUAAUACAGAGGUCUCAAGCGUUGUUCGGAUUCAUUGGGCGUAAAGGGUGCGUAGGCGGCGCGGUAAGUCGGGUGUGAAAUCUCGGAGCUUAACUCCGAAACUGCAUUCGAUACUGCCGUGCUUGAGGACUGGAGAGGAGACUGGAAUUUACGGUGUAGCGGUGAAAUGCGUAGAUAUCGUAAGGAAGACCAGUGGCGAAGGCGGGUCUCUGGACAGUUCCUGACGCUGAGGCACGAAGGCCAGGGGAGCAAACGGGAUUAGAUACCCCGGUAGUCCUGGCAGUAAACGGUGCACGUUUGGUGUGGGGAGGAUUCGACCCCUUCUGCGCCGGAGCUAACGCGUUAAACGUG